GGAUCUUAGUGUACAUUGUGACCAUUUUAUCUCUCCUUUACAUCUAAUGUUAUCGAAGCAACACAACACAAUGUCUUAUCGUUAUGGGCAAAUCCAUGCUCAAAGUCGAUGGGAUAAAAUCCAUGCCGAUCUUCAUAAACCACACAAGCGGCAUGGAGCUCCGCUAUGUGUUCCAUACCCAAAUCCCUACUGCGAUCCACAAUUUUGACUUCCUGCGAUGACAGAUCCUCCAGAUCCAUCUCUCCAAGUUGCCAAACACUUGAGCACCAGCCUGGCAAUAGAGCUGCCCAAGGGCGGGAGAAUAUGAAUGUUCAAAUUAAAUUGUAUUGGAAUUCGAAUCUGUUUCCAUUGCGACGCGUCAAACAGCAAAUUACUCCGCGGGGAAACUGUGUGGGCAGGACUCCAAUUAAUUACACGGCGACUACACGGCAUCUACACCUUUGCUACAAAAUGGGAGGAAAACGAUAGGCAAAACGGCCCAGAAAAUGCAACGCCUUCAAGGCACCGAAGAGUCCGGACAAAGACAAGGCCCAGCCUCAGGGCCGGGCAACAAAAAAUACCCG
rnacentral:sRNA from 1 species